UGACUCAUAGUUCAGUUGGUAGAAUAUUAGGCUAUUAACCGAAAUGUCAUAGGUUCAAGUCCUACUGAGUCAG
rnacentral:tRNA from 1 species